CUCCCAUAUUUAGCGGCGGACGGGUGAGUAACGCGUGAGCAACCUGCCUUUUACUACGGGAUAACAUUUAGAAAUAGGUGCUAAUACCGUAUAAGACCACACCGAAGCAUCUCGGAGAGGUAAAAGAUUUAUCGGUAAAAGAUGGGCUCGCGUCCCAUUAGUUUGUUGGUGAGGUAACGGCCCACCAAGACUGUGAUGGGUAGCCGACCUGAGAGGGUGGACGGCCACAUUGGGACUGAGACACGGCCCAAACUCCUACGGAAGGCAGCAG
rnacentral:rRNA from 1 species